rnacentral:rRNA from 1 species
UUUAGCCAAGGCUCCAGUAACUAGAAAGCAUGUGAUCUAAUU